UAUACGCCCUUCGGGGGAAAGAAUUUCGGUGAGGGAUCGGCCCGCGUUAGAUUAGUUAGUUGGUGGGGUAAUGGCCUACCAAGACUACGAUCUAUAGCUGGUUUGAGAGGAUGAUCAGCAACACUGGGACUGAGACACGGCCCAGACUCCUACGGGAGGCAGCAGUGGGGAAUCUUAGACAAUGGGGGCAACCCUGAUCUAGCGAUGCCGCGUGAGUGAUGAAGGCCUUAGGGUCGUAAAGCUCUUUCGCCUGUGAUGAUAAUGACAGUAGCAGGUAAAGAAACCCCGGCUAACUCCGUGCCAGCAGCCGCGGUAAUACGGAGGGGGUUAGCGUUGUUCGGAAUUACUGGGCGUAAAGCGCACGUAGGCGGAUUAGUCAGUCAGAGGUGAAAUCCCAGGGCUCAACCCUGGAACUGCCUUUGAUACUGCUAGUCUUGAAUUCGAGAGAGGGAGGUGAAUUCCGA
rnacentral:rRNA from 1 species